CGACAGGGGAGCGCCACUUCGGUGCUGAGAUUGCGUUAAGCCAAUACCCUCGCACCUGAUCCGGAUAAUGCCGGCGAAGGGAGUCGGGUUUCU
rnacentral:ncRNA from 1 species